CUUGAACGCUGGCGGCAGGCCUAACACAUGCAAGUCGAGCGGAGCGGCGGACGGGUGAGUAAUGCCUAGGAAUCUGCCUGGUAGUGGGGGAUAACGUCCGGAAACGGGCGCUAAUACCGCAUACUAUCAGAUGAGCCUAGGUCGGAUUAGCUAGUUGGUGUGGUAACGGCCUACCAAGGCGACGAUCCAUAACUGGCCUGAGAGGAUGAUCAGUAACACUGUAACGGAGACACGGUCCAGACUCCUACGGGAGGCAGCAGUGGGGAAUAUUGGACAAUGGGCGAAAGCCUGAUACAGCCAUGCCGCGUGUGUGAAGAAGGUCUUCGGAUUGUAAAGCACUUUAAGUUGGGAGGCGUUACCAACAGAAGAAGCACCGGCUAACUCCGUGCCAGCAGCCGCGGUAAUUC
rnacentral:rRNA from 1 species